ACACCUCAACUCUCAUGGUCUGCCAUGAUGAGCUUGGACUUUGGGGGUCUUGCUGGCGUAACCGUCGGCUCCUCUAAAACGAAUCAGCUUGCCAGUGUUUGGUGGCGUCACAGGUGUGAUAACUAUCUACGCUUGUGGUCUUCCAUCAGGUUACCUUCAGUAAUGGGGGUUCGCUGGAGCUCACAGACGUCUCUCCUCAGUGAGGACAGCUUUUUAAC
rnacentral:misc_RNA from 1 species